GACAAAGUUACCCCGCACUGACGCCUUCCAUUGCGCCGCCGUCUCCGCCUCCCACUGCCGCCGCUAGCUGUCCCCGCCUCCCACGGCCGCCGCUAGCCGUCCCCACCUCCCGCGGCAGCUGUGCGUCGUCCCAGCCUUCCCUGGCCGCCACGCGUCGUCCCAGCCUCCCACCUCCCGGUGACCCACCGCAGCCCUACCUCCCACCUCCCGGCGACCUACCGCAGCCCCGCCUCCCAUCUCCCGGCGACGAGUCACGCCCUCGCCUCCCACCUCCCGACGACGAGCCGUGCCCCGCCUCCCAUCUUCCCCGAUGACGAGCCGCGCCCCGCCUCCUAUCUCUCCCCGAUGAGUCGCACUCCCGCCUUCCAUCUCCCGGCGAUGAGCCGCACCCCGCCUCCCCCCUUCGACCGAUGAGCCAUGCCCCAGCCUCACAUCUCCCGCCGUCACACUGCCCCUGCCUCACAACUCCUGCCGUCACGCCGCGCGCUGACCUACCGCCGCAGCAACCGCCACGAAGAAGAAGCCAUCGUCACCCCAUCCCCACUCUCCAUGGCCACCAGCCGCCGUCGCGCUCGAACUCCAAUCACCACCUCCACGCCCGUCAGCCGCCGUUGCAAACCACCUCUAGUUGCAGCCUCCAAUGCCCGAUGGUGCGGCAACCUCCCAGCCCCAAGGUGCCACCUCCAUCCCCCCCCCCAAUCCUCCAACAGUGCAGCUUCUUCCCGACCUUCUGCUCAUGGCGCUCGAGCCACCUGCACCUCUUUGCAUCAGUUCUAAAAUCCCCGCGCAUCAGUACACCUAUGUAUUCUUCUGCGAUUUUCAAAUAUGGUUAUAGUUGUUGCUUCGAUUUUGCUGUUGAUGUACAUAGUUUGUGAAGAGAAGAUUUUAUAAUUCAUGUUGCCGAUGGAAUGAAUUACUAAAAGUUCAAAUUUGCUAAUUUCUGCAGUUCUGGUUCUCUAGAUUGGUCUUGGUACAUGAUAUAUCUUAAGCUGGAGUUCGUCGCUAAGCAGGUUUGAUUAUGUAAAGUUCAAGUUUUUUGUGUGUGAUGUAGUAUAGCUCAACUACAUUUUGUUACCUCUUUACUUUUAAAUUGCUGAUUGGAUGUUGAACUAAUUCCCUGCCUUCUCCAUCACUUACGUGGUUCCCUAUUUGGUUGAUCUAUUGUACUCAUGUAUAUUUCAAAAUUCUAAGAAACCUGGCUAUCAAUUAUCUUGUAUACAAAAGGUUUGGGAGUGGAUCUUCUAAUGAAAGCAGGAGCAAAGGAAGAAGAAGAAGAGUAGGAUGGAGAGAUGGAGAUGUGUGUAUGUAUACGUGUGUUCUGAAGAUAGGAGAACUUAUCUGAUGGUGUGUGCGUGCUGCUGCAUCCUCUUUCAGCUGCUCUAAUUCACACCCUCACUACAACUUUUGUAUGCCCUCGUGUUCACAAAUCUUGUAGUACUUUUUUCAUAAAAAUCUUGAAGUACUAUGUAAAGAAAGCGUGGGCAACACAAAGUUCAGUUGUCGCGGUAUUACUCACUGUUGAUGGUGGCCUUCUUUUGUGUUGCUACUACUUUGUCACCUAGAGUAGUACUGCUACUACUUGUCAUGUUGAUAAAACCUCGCAAAUGGUACAUCUAUUUGAUUAACAAUUCUGUAGGGAAAAAAGUUCACCAAUAUACAAUCUCUAAUCUCAAUAUACCAAAAGUUUUUGUUUAGUAGUUGGUACUGCUCAAGUUUAUUUCUUGAUGUACACAUGAUGUCCAAAUUCUUCUUUCAGUUCGGUUCAAUUUAUAAAUUUCAUUCAGUUCGGUGAGGUGGAAAUUGGGGCGCGGUGGAGUGUGGCCGUGUGUGUGGAGACGGCCCGCCGCAACGUCACCGGCAGGAUCCCGCACUUUAGUGUAUGUUUUGUAUGCUUUUUAGUUCACCUACUUAACAACUCCAAGUCCAAUUUCCUCCUUGUUUCCAUGUUCUUCCUAUAGCACAACAGUUGGUAUGCCUAUAUGGAUCAAAAUAGGCAUAUGUUCUUUUGUAUUCUUGCAAAUGAAGCUCCACUUAUGUUCUGUUUGAACUUACUUGGCAUAAAAAUUAGUAUUUGUUCUAUUAUAAAAAAACAUAAAAUUAAAUGUCUUGGUGCAUGAUCGAAGGUGCAUCUGGAAGCAUCCCCAUGUCAAUUGCAAAGGUUUCCAGGAUGUGGCAUCAGUACUAGCAGUCCAACCCGGCUACCCCAGGCUGUUCACCGUCGCAGCUCCCAGGCCAAUUGUGUCGAGCCUUAUGCCACUGCCUGUGGAGCUCCAUCGCUGUACUACCCAUACCUUUCAUGGCCGCCACACCGGGCCGUUCAGCGACACAACCUAAAGCAUUCGACGCUGCGGCUCGGGAGGCACACAUUUCGCCCCUUCAUCCCAGGAGAGCAGUACAUGACCUUGUGCGAGCAGACCUUUGUCGAUGUACACUGCUGCUCGAAGCUCCCUUGCCACUGCUCCAGUCUGUCCAGCGUCAUCCCCAGUCCAGCCCCGUGGCAUCCGGACGAUCAAGUUCAUGCCGAGUAGCAGUCCACGACCGCCAGCUCCUAUUUCCACUAUAGUGAUUGGGUUGCUGUUUUCCUCACCCUUCCCUGAUGCGCGACAACCCAGCCCACAUGCUGCUGCCGUCCGCCACCCCAAAAUAGUUUUGUCUCUUCCUCAAACAACCAUUGGAGAACCUUUUGGUGUUUUUUCUGUUGGUGAUUGAUUUUAGCAAUUUGUAGCUAUCUUGCGUAUGGAUCCUGAAAGUCCAAUAUUGUUGUAGAUUCAGUUCUUGUAGCAGAAAUGUCCCAAAGUUCAGUGACAUAUCUAAUUGAUGUACUGUGGUCUUGCAUCUCCUAUGUAUGUUUCUCAACUUCCUCCCGGUCCGCUCAAUCUCGUCCUGCUCCGAAGAAUGCUUUAGUUCAACAAAAAGCUCCAGAAAAGUUCAGAGUUCAGCGUACUUUGCCUUUAUGCUCCCAGACUGUUCACAGCAGCCACCCUAGUCCAUUCAUCACUGCCAACCGAGGCCGUUCAACGAUGCAGCGUUCAGGUCGUUCAACGACGCAAUGGUAUUUGAAGGUGCAGACUUGGAAGCGGCCUGGUUAGUUCAACAACAGUUCAAUGACAAAAAGAACAUCAGCUCAAAAAAUAUAUGCAGGAGGUUUUGAGCCAAACAACUGAUAUUCAUUGUGUUUUAAUUUUUUGGGUGCAUGAUUGAACACGAGAAAAAAGUGAUGUAUGAUAUAUAUUCUGUUCUUGUUGGAGGUUCAAAGGUUGUUGUAUAGCAAGUUCAAGAGUUUGGUUUCGA